GUGGUAAUGGCGCACCUAGGCGACGAUCAGUACCUGGUCUGAGAGGAUGACCAGUCACACUGGGACUGAGACACGGACCAGACUCCUACGGGAGGCAGCAGUGGGGAAUUUCCCGCAAUGGGCGAAAGCCUGACGGAGCAAUACCGCGUGACGGACGACGGCUUUUGGG
rnacentral:rRNA from 1 species